rnacentral:rRNA from 1 species
UACGAAGGGGGCUAGCGUUGUUCGGAAUUACUGGGCGUAAAGCGCCUGCAGGCGGAUCGCUAGGUCAGGGGUGAAAGCCCGAGGCUCAACCUCGGAACUGCCUUUGAUACUGGCGAUCUUGAGUCCGGGAGAGGUGAGUGGAACUCCGAGUGUAGAGGUGAAAUUCGUAGAUAUUCGCAAGAACACCAGGGGCGAAGGCGACUCACUGGCCCGGUACUGACGCUGAGGUGCGAAAGCGUGGGGAGCAAACAGG